AGGAUCGUUGAUCUAUGGAUUCUUGGCUGCAUUGGUCUAUGACUCGCAUGGUUCGACUGCGAUCAAAUCAAUGAAAGACUCCGUCGUGUGUAUGGGACGGGGUUGCUAUUACUUGACCUUUGUGUGGUGGGGAUGCUUGUCGGUUCUUGGACUCGCUUCUAGUCUUGUGUUGUUUAUUAGGACUAGAAGAGCUUAUCAACGGUUUGAACAAGCUCGGAUAAGUUCAAAUAUUGAUUCAUAGAAAUUUUACCUUCAUUCCCCGACGGCUUGUGUAUAUCACAGUAUAUGUAGGGAUCUAUAUUUAACAGACGUAUUAAUGGACUGUUAUGGAUUUUGGCUGAUAAUAUUUUGUUGUCGCUGAUUUAUUUUAGUCUCAAAUUCUGAUAAUUGUUAAAUUAUCCUAUCCUUUCUACAAUAAUAUUAUUUUUUUUGGGUGAGAAUUUACGUUUGACAGCGCUACUUGCAACUAAAUCAUUUUAUGCUCUUUCUUUUAUGGUGGUGGAAACCUUCCUGACUGAUAAAUUAAUGAUACCGUUUUUAAAAAUACAGUUUUUAAUUAAGAUAUAAAAAUUUAAAAAAUUAUUUUGCUCGAGAAAGCAAUGUAUUUGGAUGUGCAAUCUCUUGUAACCGUUAUUUCUGAAGUGAUUUUUUAGUACCCCAUCAGUUAUGAAAUGAUUACAUUACUGAAGACUCACCUUUUCAUUACAGACAUAUAUAUAUAUAUUAAAAUGUUGAUAAAUCAAAGAUACUCGAGUAAUUAAAACUAUACUUUACUAAUUUAAGGGAAGAUACAAAACCUCUGAUCCUUAAUACAAAGAAAAAGCCUCUCAUAAGCUAAAGCCAUCUUACUCGCCGUAAACAUCUCCGCCGCAUACUCUUUACACUUCCUCCCUCUCUCCGCCAAUCUCUCCGCUCCUUCCGCCACCGCAACUUCCAUAACCGCCGUCAAAGCCUCCACAUUCGGCGCAAACAUAAACCCAAACUCAUCAUUCACCACAAUACUCCUCUUUAUGCUCGCAUACCUCGACGCCAUCACCGGUUUACCACUCAACAUCGCUUCCAUCAAAGUCAAAUCAAGACCUUGUGGUCUAAGCGUUGGAUUCACAAACAAAUCGAUCCCGUUGUAGAAACCCUUGAGCUCAUUUGGGUUCAGAGAUCCCAAAAUAGUAACUUUCUCGCCAAGUUCCUUGUAACGGUUCUCCCAUGGUCCUGACCCAGCUACCACAAGGUGAACAUUUGAAUGUGUUUCGAUUAGUUUUGCGAAGGCUUCGUAGAGAAUCGGAUGUCCCUUGUCUUUCACCAAUCUCCCUGCAGCUCCUAAGACAAUAGCCGAUGAGUUUUCUUGUAACCCUAGUUUUGACCUAAACAGAGAACGUAGCUUCUUGUCUGAUUUGAACCCAUUUUCGUCGACUCCGUUGAGGAUCACAUGAACCCUUUUCUCCGGGAUUUGGUAAACGUCUCUCAGCAUUUCCCCGCAGCUGUCGCUGAUUGCUAUGUGAUGAGCGUAGUUGUGGAAGAAUCUGAUUUCUUGAGAAAUUGAAAUAUAAUAUAGCCACUUCAUAGUUAAAUGUACAAGUGUUUUUAUAAUAUAUACUGUUAAUUUCUGUGAAAUUUAAGUAUAUGAUUUAUUUUGUAAAACUAUUAAAUAUGAUAUGAUAAAAGUUAUAAAACUGCGAUAUUUUCAUGUGGAAAUAGUUUUAUUGCAUAUCAUGCAAAUUAUAUUUGAAGUUAUAAGACAUAGUUCUUUCUAAUCAGAAGUACUUUUAUAUUUCACUUAAUUUAGCUAAAAACAUAGAAAGAAUGUUUUUUUAGUUUAUAAAAUCAAAUAGACAUGAACAUUGGCUAUCAAUUUAGGUACAUAUUUUUUUAGGGUAUUGUUUUUUUUUUUUUUGAAAUAAAGUUCCGCUUGAAUAUUAUAAAUUUAUGUGUCAUUUUGAGUUGAGUCAUUCUGAGUCUGGAUGAGUUCGGUUAUGAUUUAUAUGAAUCUAAAAAAUAUCUAAAUAACAAAUAUAUAUAUAAAAUAUGUUCGGAUAUUUGUACCAAAAAUAAUCAUAUUAUCCGAUUCGGUCCAAGUCGUUUAAAUACAAUUAGUUAUAUUACGACACAUCUAAAAUAUAUAACACUAAUAAUGAAAUAAAAUAUCAAUGUAAAAAAUGUAAAAACCAAUCUUAGUGUGGGUGCGCGGAUAAUCUCUAGUUAUAUUUGAAGUAUAAGACAUAGUUCUUUUUAAUCAGAAAUAGUUUUAUGUGGAAAGUUUAAUGAAUUUUCUAUUUCUUUGAAAUGACUUUCAUGUUAGUUGUUAUAGCUUAGAGUUUUUGACCCAAAAAAAAGAGUUAUUCAUAUGUUCAUACAUAUAAUUUUGUCACGAUUCACAAAUGAGACUAAACCAAAACUUUUCGAGUCACAAACUGGGUGACGAUUGAUUGGUAGAUAGGUAGUUCACAGUUGUUUUUUUGUUUGUCGAUUUUUCUUAUCUUUUUUUUUCUUCGUAAAUGCAUUAACUUUUAGGAACUUCCAUAAAACUUGUUGGUCCAACAAGUCUUCUUCUUGGCAUGUUCGGGCUUGUCUCGUGGUUGAUGGCUAUUUCGAAAAUCUGCAACUAUUUCAUAAUUUAAAAUAUGACGUCAAAAAUGAAUAUUUAUUAUCCUUUAUAUAAAAUUCUUAUUGUCUAAAUCAUAUAUAGAUAUGCAAAAAAUGGCCACCGGAUUUUUUUAUUAAACGUCUUUUUCUGAUGAGUAAGCUGUUUGUGGUUGAGAAAAAUCAAUGAAAUAGAUAUACAAAUAUUAAAUGUGACGCUUUUAGUAGUUAAAUGUUGUCUUUCUCAAACAGUCAAACUCAAUCAUUAUUGGGGUAAAAUAAUCAAAAACAAAAUUUGUAAAAUAAUAAAUCAAAUUUAGUAGUUAGAUUUUUUUAAUUUCUUGUCUCUGAAGAAACUUUGAUUGAUAUUGGCUCGUUACUAUACAGGUGUUUCUCUGUUGCUUACUUGCUGGUCUAAGUAUCUGUUGGUUCAACACAGUCUGCUUUGUGCUCUGCAUCAGCAACUUCCCUGCAAACAGAGCGCUUGCUCUGUCCAUCACAGUAAGCUUCAACGGUGUAAGCGCUGCCUUAUACACACUUGCUUACAACGCAAUCAACCCAACCUCUCCAGAGCUCUACCUUCUCUUAAACGCUCUCAUACCACUCGUUGUCUCCUUCACUGCAAUCAUCCCGAUACUUCGUCAACCGCCUUUCGAGCCUCUUCCACCAGAUGGAGUUCGCCGCGACUCUCUCAUGUUUCUACUGCUCAACAUUCUCGCCGCUCUAAACGGUGUUUACCUCCUCCUCUUUGAGUCAAACUCCUCUGAUAUAACCUCUGCUCGUCUCCUCUUUGGUGGUGCAAUCAUCCUCUUGGUCCUCCCUUUAUGUAUCCCCGGUUUAGUCAUCGCCCGUAACUGGUAUCAUCGCACGAUCCACACAAGUUUCCGCCUUGAAGGUUCCGGUUUCAUUCUCGUUCAUCCUGAUGAGCUUGAGCUGCAUAAAGGAAUGGUUGCACAUGAAGCCAAUAGAGAAGGCUACCAGUUGCUAAACGACGACAUUGUGCAAAACCUUGUUGUUAAGACUACAGCUCCAGAGGAAGGUGACACUGAUGAGUCCUGUUGCAAGAAGCUUAUUACAAGAGGCCAGCUUGAGAUAUUGGGAACUGAACAUUCUUUGUCGCAGCUCUUACGUAGAGCUGACUUCUGGUUCUACUAUAUUGCGUACUUCUGCGGUGGAACCAUCGGACUUGUGUACAGCAACAACCUCGGACAGAUUGCUCAGUCUUUAGGACAAAGCUCAAAGACUACAACUCUUGUCACACUUUAUUCUUCCUUCUCAUUCUUUGGAAGAUUACUCUCGGCAACACCGGACUAUAUCCGAGCGUAAGUGCAUUUGAUCCAUAUUAAUUUAUCGUAUUUAUUAAUUUAUCAAAUAUUAAUUUAUAGAGUUUAUAGUUUGGUUUUGCGGGUUUUGAUUUGGAUUAAGUUGUGCAGGAAGGUUUAUUUUGCAAGAACCGGGUGGUUAGCAAUCGCGCUUUUGCCAACACCAAUCGCGCUUUUCUUGCUCGCAUCAUCAGGAACCGCGUCAGCGUUACAAGCGGGAACAGCUCUGAUUGGUCUAAGCUCAGGAUUCAUAUUCGCAGCAGCUGUUUCGAUCACAUCAGAGCUCUUUGGACCAAACAGUGUUGGAGUUAACCACAACAUCUUGAUCACAAACAUACCGAUAGGAUCGUUGAUCUAUGGAUUCUUGGCUGCAUUGGUCUAUGACUCGCAUGGUUCGACUGCGAUCAAAUCAAUGAAAGACUCCGUCGUGUGUAUGGGACGGGGUUGCUAUUACUUGACCUUUGUGUGGUGGGGAUGCUUGUCGGUUCUUGGACUCGCUUCUAGUCUUGUGUUGUUUAUUAGGACUAGAAGAGCUUAUCAACGGUUUGAACAAGCUCGGAUAAGUUCAAAUAUUGAUUCAUAGAAAUUUUACCUUCAUUCCCCGACGGCUUGUGUAUAUCACAGUAUAUGUAGGGAUCUAUAUUUAACAGACGUAUUAAUGGACUGUUAUGGAUUUUGGCUGAUAAUAUUUUGUUGUCGCUGAUUUAUUUUAGUCUCAAAUUCUGAUAAUUGUUAAAUUAUCCUAUCCUUUCUACAAUAAUAUUAUUUUUUUUGGGUGAGAAUUUACGUUUGACAGCGCUACUUGCAACUAAAUCAUUUUAUGCUCUUUCUUUUAUGGUGGUGGAAACCUUCCUGACUGAUAAAUUAAUGAUACCGUUUUUAAAAAUACAGUUUUUAAUUAAGAUAUAAAAAUUUAAAAAAUUAUUUUGCUCGAGAAAGCAAUGUAUUUGGAUGUGCAAUCUCUUGUAACCGUUAUUUCUGAAGUGAUUUUUUAGUACCCCAUCAGUUAUGAAAUGAUUACAUUACUGAAGACUCACCUUUUCAUUACAGACAUAUAUAUAUAUAUUAAAAUGUUGAUAAAUCAAAGAUACUCGAGUAAUUAAAACUAUACUUUACUAAUUUAAGGGAAGAUACAAAACCUCUGAUCCUUAAUACAAAGAAAAAGCCUCUCAUAAGCUAAAGCCAUCUUACUCGCCGUAAACAUCUCCGCCGCAUACUCUUUACACUUCCUCCCUCUCUCCGCCAAUCUCUCCGCUCCUUCCGCCACCGCAACUUCCAUAACCGCCGUCAAAGCCUCCACAUUCGGCGCAAACAUAAACCCAAACUCAUCAUUCACCACAAUACUCCUCUUUAUGCUCGCAUACCUCGACGCCAUCACCGGUUUACCACUCAACAUCGCUUCCAUCAAAGUCAAAUCAAGACCUUGUGGUCUAAGCGUUGGAUUCACAAACAAAUCGAUCCCGUUGUAGAAACCCUUGAGCUCAUUUGGGUUCAGAGAUCCCAAAAUAGUAACUUUCUCGCCAAGUUCCUUGUAACGGUUCUCCCAUGGUCCUGACCCAGCUACCACAAGGUGAACAUUUGAAUGUGUUUCGAUUAGUUUUGCGAAGGCUUCGUAGAGAAUCGGAUGUCCCUUGUCUUUCACCAAUCUCCCUGCAGCUCCUAAGACAAUAGCCGAUGAGUUUUCUUGUAACCCUAGUUUUGACCUAAACAGAGAACGUAGCUUCUUGUCUGAUUUGAACCCAUUUUCGUCGACUCCGUUGAGGAUCACAUGAACCCUUUUCUCCGGGAUUUGGUAAACGUCUCUCAGCAUUUCCCCGCAGCUGUCGCUGAUUGCGAUGUGAUGAGCGUAGUUGUGGAAGAAUCUGAUUUCAUCUAGUAUCUUGGGAAGCACGGCACCGUAUAGGCUUGCGUUGAAGCCUUGUGAUCUUGGUUCGCCUGGUUUACGGAUCAGGUCUUGGUAAAUGCUUGACUGUAAGCUCUCUAGUGCAAUGCCGUGCCACGAGACGGCUAGGUUUGGAACCUCUCUGGCGAUCCAGUGCGGUAGAGCCACACUUUCCGUGUGAACCACGUCAAAUGGUUCCUUUUUGUUUUCUUCUUGGUAAAGCUCCCAUGCUUUGUUGUAUCGCCAUUUUCCUGGCUCAGCAUCGCCGUGGGAAUGGAUUGUAGGGUUUAUGGUUUUGUCUGAAGCGGAAGUGAUUUUGUUGGUUUGAGGGGAAGAGUCUAAGGGAGAGGUGAAAACGUGGACGUGGUGUCCACGGCGGGCUAAAGCAGUGUAGAGAGUGAAGGCAUGGCGUUCCAUGCCGCCAGGGUUGGGUCCAGUGGGCCAUUUCCUGGAGAAAACUGCGAGUCUUAGGGUUUUAGGAGGAGGGUUGGUUAAGGAGAAAGAAAGGCGGUUCCAUGCAAAUUGGGCUGCUUGGAGAUCGCCAGACCACGGUGGCUGGUUUGUGUCAGAGGAGGGGGAGACUGCGGCGGUUGUGGAAGAGCAAGAAGAGGAGGUGCGGAGGAGGAAGAGGGCCGGGAUGGUAAAGAGGACGGUGAAGAAGAGGAAAGUGCAAAGGCUGAAAUGAGAAUUAGGUUUCUUGAGUUUGGUUUGUGAAGCCAUUGUUUGAUCUGGACAAUCUGAUGUUGUGUCUGCUUGUUCAACUAGAUGACAGAUAAAAGGAAAAUUGUGAUUUCUCAUCUCUGAGAAAUUAAUGAUAAACUUACAAUAUAAGUAAAUGAUAAAGUGGAGAUGGUCCAUUAAAGUUAACUUCAAUUUUAAUAAGAUUUUCUUUUAGUGGUUUGGUAACGUCUAAAUAUGACCAAGAAAGAAACGUGAGGCUGAGGCUUCAAUCACUUCUGCGAGAUCACUUUAGUUGUACAUAUGGGAAAUGUUCAUGUGACUUGUUGCGUGACUUUUUUACACAUAAAUAAUGUGAACACUCGUAAAUAUCAUGCAAAUAUUAAAAAUAAUAACGGUAUGGUAUAUUGAGGAACUAAACAUCUACAGUAUAUUAUAUUAUAGGUCAAUGGUCUAAAAACAUUGGUAAGGUCCGAAGCAAAACUAUUUAGUUAGUGUGUUUGGCCUCCACUUUUUGACUUUAUGAUUGUGAUAUAUCAUUUUUCUAAUGCGGAUUUGUUGGUAUUUUACAACUCAAGCAUUUGACUUUCUUAACUUUUUAGACUAUACAUUUCGUUGUAUAGUAUCAAACAUGCAUAAAUUUAAUGCAUAUGCGGUGGCAAAUGAUCUGGUAAUGCCUUUGUAUUGGAUUAUUAAUUAUUUAACAUGCAAGAGUUAUUUCUGUAAUAAGUUUACAUUGGAACUUUACUUCAAGGCUCAAUGAAUCUUAUCACAAGUCAAACUUUAGCUUUUACAUUUUCAAGAAUACUUCCUACGAAAAAAACUGAUUUUGAUAUUGUUGUACUGAUGAAACUCUUUUUGGAGAAACCUAACUUGCACUACAGAGAUUCAGUUCCCCAUUCUUGACAAUUGCUUAAGAAGUUAAGAUCAGCCACUUGAAACUACAAAAUUAUAUACAGUCUCUGUAGUAGUUCACGGAGCUAAGAUAGAUUUGUAACAUGAUUCCGUCUGAAUCUAACCCUUGUAUGAAAUCAACUUUCUAUAAUUAGCUAUUUCCAGAGAUUAGACUUGUGCAGGCUCCAUGUAACAAAGAAGAGAACACUCCUAAUCAGCAAAAGAGAUUUCUUCGUUUGUUCUUUUCCCGUUCAGUAGCUCUUCUUCUUGUGGACAGAAACAGCCUCUUUUGGACACAACAGCUUCAUCCAUAUCGUUUCAUUUAGAUCUCUUGAGGAAAAAUCAAAUACACUUUGUUUUCUUCUCAUCAGGUUUCCUUUAAAUACAUAUGAGCAAUACGACAUCGUAACACAAGACUCGAUUAUUAGAAAGCAGACUAAAGAUAACGAAACUCUCUUUCUCACUGAGAGUCCCCCACACUCGUUCAUUCUCCACUUCGCUCGCCCACCUCGCCCAGUGCGCUUGUUCUCUUCUUGAUCGUCCUUGCCAGCAUACGAAAGCCAAAGGCACUGCUAACCUAUUAGAAUGGCGCGUGUCUGCCCCUCGGAAACUGAUAAACACGUCUUAUUUCCCGCCGGGAAGGAUCCACGGAGAGCAAAAGUAUCUCUAUGGUUAGAAACUGAAGGAUAAGGUUUUGGAAUCAGUGGGUGAAACAGUAACUCUUUUGACUAUGAACAGUAACUCUUCACAGUGGGUAAUAUACACUAUGAAUCGCACUCAACUUGCUCCCACUUGAAAUUCGAAAACGCAGAAACGAUUCUCCGUCACAGAAAUGGACAGACUCCGCGCUCUCCGCCGUCAGGGAUUGCGCGAUUUCGAGCCGUCACUCCCGCCGCGAUUUAUGGAUAGAAUCCUCGACCGUAUGAAGAAAUCUUCGAGUCGGAGGGGGAUAAGCCGCCGCCGGCUAGAACGGUGUUCUAGCUCCUUAGCUGAAGAUCUAUCAGUCUCGACUUCUUCUUUCACGACGCGCUCUCUGGAGUUACCCGAUAGGACUAGUUUCCGUCUCUUAGCAGGAGGCGGCGAUGGCGAAUUGGAUCGGAUUUACAAGUCCCUUGGCGUUUCUGGUCCCGACGAUUUGGCGAUUUCUUUUGACGCGUGGGAGGCUUGCAAGACGCGUUCCUCCUCUGGUAUUGUUAAUAGGUUUCAGCCUCAGGCCGAUGUUUUGAGUAGUGGUGUUGAUUCACUGGAUCGGGACGAUACUGGUGGUGUGGGCAGGUUCUUCAAGGAGCAUGCGAGUGAAAAAGCUAGUGAGAAAGAGCAUGGCGAGAUGAAUCUCAAGGAAGUUGAAACUCCUUUCCAGCCAAAACUAUCUGAGCAUUGCGUUACGGGGUCUGACCCUAUAUUAGUUAUUUAUUGUGGUGACAACCAGGUCUCCGAGGAGAUAUACCUCAUCAGCUACAUCUUCAACGAGUUGUGUGCCCGUGGCUUUGCCCCUUUGAGAUAUGAUAUGAAAAAGAGCACUGUGACUGAAAAUCAGAAACUGCUACACAUAUCACGGGUUGGUAUUAUCAUUUUCUCGAUGAACUUUGCUCAUUCCAGAGAGUGUCUGGAUGGAUUCGUGGCAGUCAUGGAUCAUUUGAAAGCUAACGAGCUUGUGCUUAUUCCUGUGUUUUUUAAAGUAAGUGUUUCAGACGUCAGGGGCCAAAGUGGCUCUUUUGGAAAAGCAUUCACACGACUUGGGGAUUCAGUCAUGGCCUCCCAAGUUCUGAAAUGGAGGGCGGCUAUGAUCAAAUUAGCUUCCAUCAUUGGAUAUGCGUAUAAGAAGGGGUAUAUUGCUUUCUCUUUUUUUUUUGCAAUAUUUUUUAUAUUUGUAUGGUGUGGUAUAUGACUCUGAUUCUGAUGUUUUCUCUGUGCAGGGAUGAGGUUAUUCUGGCCAAGAAUAUUGUCAGAGAUGUCUGUUUGCCGCUCAGUUCCGAAACCAACAUGAAGCUAAGAGGAACGAGGCUUUCAUUAAAAAGUAUAUUGUCUCUGCUGAAUCGUUCUCAACCCUCAUCUUCACAGAUUGUUGGACUUUGGGGUAUGGCUGGCAUAGGGAAGACUACCAUCACGAGAGACUUUUUCAGAUCACAAGCUGAGCAAUAUGACGUGUGCUACUUUCUGCCUGACUUUCAUCUAUUGUGUCAAACAAAAGGGCUGAGUUAUUUGCGUGAUGAUUUCUUCUCGAAAAUAUUUGGCGCAGAGAAAGUUUUCGUAGACGCAUGUGAUACAAAACCAAGCGUCACAAGGGAUAGGUUCCUCGGUAAAAAGGUUCUGAUUGUUCUUGAUGGUGUGAGUAGUGCCAAAGAUGCAGAAGUUUUGGUUGGAGGGUUUGGCUGGUUUUCUGGUGGACAUACAAUCAUCUUAACAUCUAGGAAUAGGCAAGUUCUUGUACAGUGUAACGCCAAAGUGAUUUACGAGAUCGAGAAGCUACCCAAGCUUGAGUCUCUUCACCUUUGUUGCAAGUUUGCCAGUAAAGAAAAUUGUAAAGGAAGAAUGUCGUUGACAUCGGAGCUUGUGGACUACGCUAGUGGCAAUCCUUUGGCUCUGCGAGUCUUAGGUUUGUCUAUUCAAAAUCAAUCUAUGAAAGAUCAGAAACAACAUCUGAGAAGACUGCGUCAACAUCCUCCAGUCAAAAUUCUGAAUGCAUUUAAAAUAAGUUUUAAUGGACGAGAUGAUGACGAGAAGAGCAUAUUUUUGGACCUGGCUUGUUUUUUCAGAGGGGAGGAUAGAGAUCGUGUGGUGAAAAUCCUUGAUGGUUGCGGUUUUUCUACAGAUUUAGGAAUCUAUGGUCUCAUUGAUGAGUCUCUCAUCAGCCUUUUAGAUAACAAGAUAGAAAUGCCCAACAUUUUCCAAGACGCGGGUCGAUUUGUUGUUUGUCAAGAACACGAAGAGCCAGGCAACCGUAGCAGAUUGUGGGAUUCUAGUGACAUUGCUGGUGUCCUGAAAAAUAAUACAGUAAGUCUUUGAAAAUGUGUAAUGAUAUUCUAUUUAAACUUAAGAUUGAGGUUCCUUUCUUCUCUCAGAAAAAAACUGUUUGCCAUUUUUUUCAGGGAACAGAAGCAACUGAGGGAAUAUUUCUGGAUGCAUCUGGCUUGACAUUUGAUUUGAGCUCUACUGCAUUUGAGAGGAUGUAUAGACUUAGAUUGCUCAAGAUCCACUGUCCAACUUCUGUAAAUCAUUGCAAGGUUUGUCUACCUGAAGGCCUCCACUCUUUGCCUGAUGAGCUACGCCUACUCCACUGGGAAAAAUAUCCUCUUGGAUCGUUACCUCGGAACUUCAACCCUAAAAAUCUUGUAGAACUGAACAUGCCAUAUAGCAACUUGACAAAAGUAUGGAAAGGAACAAAGGUAUGUCUUGACAUUAUGGUACAAUCUGCUGCAUACAUGAAGUAGUUAGCAUUUACUUGAUGACUCAUCUUGUUUUUUUUGUGCUGUAAUCAGAAUCUUGAGAAGCUAAAGAGGAUCAUUCUGAGUCACUCUCAACAGUUGACUAAAUUCCCAAGGCUUUCAAAGGCCAGGAACCUUGAGCAUAUUGAUCUCGAAGGAUGUACGAGUCUGGUUAAGGUUAACUCAUCUAUUCUUCAUCAUCACAAGCUUACUUUCUUGAGUCUGAGAAACUGUUCUCGUUUGCGAGUUAUGCCUACCACGGUUCAUCUAAAAUCUCUUGAGGUUCUUAAUCUAUCUGGCUGCUCAGAGCUCGAGAACCUUCAGGAUUUCUCAUUAAACCUGAAAGAAAUAUAUCUAGCUGGGGCUGCUAUUAGAGAAAUUCCGUCGUCGAUUGGGGAUCUCACUAGACUUGUUACAUUAGAUCUGGAGAACUGUGAAAGUCUCCAGCACCUGCCACCGGGGAUAAGUAACUUGAAAGCCAUGAUGACACUUAAGCUGUCUGGCUGUUCAAAUCUGAAGAGCCUUCCAGUUCUUGAUGCAUUAUUUCUCCAAGAUUCACAACGUUCUAACACAAGGAUAACCAUGGAAGAAUCUGUGUCCAUAAACCUUCACUCUGCUAUUCAAGAAUCAAGGUUAGAUGGCUCUAAAACCCUUCUGAAGUUAGAUAAUUUGCAACUGAGAUCAGAUAUUCACGGUUCUUUUUUCAGCAGAGAAGCAUUCUUACCAGCAUUUGAAUAUCUAUCAAACAACGGAAUACCACAAGAAAGCUGGACACGGGUCACUGUUAUUCCGUUCCCCUCACCCAUUUUACACUCAUUGGCGUCUAGGCUAUAUGCGCUAGUAUCGUUGUUCCUUUGUAAUGCUUACCUGGUGGAUAUACCUGAAGAUAUAUGUUGGCUUGCUUCGGUGAUGAGACUAGAUCUUGGUGGAAACUCUUUCAGCCAGAUUCCUAAAAGCAUCAAGGAGUUUCGUAACCUACAUAGCCUUAAUUUGCGCCAUUGCAAAAACCUCAAAUCGCUACCUGAGCUUCCUAGAAGUCUAGUAACCUUGAACGCCCAUGGCUGUGUGUCUCUCAAAUCAUUUCCAACGAGUUUCGAGCAGUUCCCAAGGCACUUCACAUUCAGUAAUUGCUUUAAUCUGUCCCCAAAAGUGGUUAGAGAAUAUAUAGGAAAAGCUCUUGAUAGCGUUAAAGGCAUGGCCAAGGGGAUUCUGCAGGUAUCCUCUCUAUUUCAGUUUCUAUCUGUCUCUGCCUCUCUUUUUUCGUCUAUAUUUCCCUCACAUACGUUUUUAGACUCACAUUUCGCAUAUACAUAUGAUAUUUUUAGGCUUCACUGGAACAGGAACACAUCAACGAUCCUGCAUUCAACAUCUGUAUACCUGCCUCUGCAGGCCAGCAAUCCUCGGUUAAUUUUCAAGCUGGUUCUUCUGUAAGGAUACAGCUAGCUCCUGGCAUGUUAAAGACUCUCUCAGGCUUUGUUUUAUCAGUAGUAGUUGAAUUUUGGGAUAAUUAUAGCAACACUGCUGGUUUUGGCAUCAAGUGUAUAUGCAGGAAGAGCAGAAUAGACCUCUCGCCUAGAUUAGAGAGAAUUUUCCAUUGUUGGGCUCCAAAGGAACCUAUCACCGUUCAACGGGAUCAUAUGUUUGUUUUUGGGAGUGUGAAAAUGCAUCAUGCAGAAGCUGUUAACCAUGAUUUCCUGUCUGAUUCAGUGACCUUUGAGUUCCAUCCUGUCAAUUCGGAGAACCAGCUCGUAGAUGAUAGCUGCACAGUGAAGAGAUGUGGAGUGUAUUUAAUCACCGAUGCGACAAGUAAUACGGCUCUAAGCGCAAAACGCCCUUCUUCUUCCAUGGAUCCAGGGGGGCUUUCUAGCAUGGAGCAUGUGGCACCGCCAUAUAAGAAAUGUCGAUUGAAGGGAGUUAUUGAAAUUGUUAUUCUAAGCUUAAGAAAAAGGAAGCGAGAACUGAGCGUCCCUACAGUCAAAAACGUUUCUACGGUAAAAUCCCUGUCCCUGAGAGUUCAUUGAGCCCUAUGGCCUCAUAUGGUGCCCCGUAAAGCUAGUAGUUGCAGUCUUGCAGACAUUGAUUUUUCCUUCCAUCAACCUCAUCAUACACUGAAACUGGUCCAAGGAACUUGAACCUGAUGUCUGUUUACGUAUUUUGGUGAUCUAUUUCCUUAUUCAAAUCCUUUCCAUCUAUUUUUCACAGGUAAGACGUCUGUGCAGAUCGUAUGUUCGCACUGGAAGCUGUGCAGUGGGUCCUAGUUGUUCUUUUGAUCAUCCGAACUGGGUGUUAACACACAAGACCGCAUCUUCCAUUCCUUCCGAGAGUCCACCCAUGGAUAUGCUAGGACUUUCUUCAUAUGGUAAGCCAUCAGAUAAGCGCGUGGAAACAUCAACUGAGAAACCCAAAAGACUCUCUGUGUCUGAGUCAAGACAAGCAACCUCUGGUAUAGACACCAUUGAUGCAGAGCAGGAAGAAGAGUAAGCUUUGUCUCAAAAAGAGUGUUAAGCUUUGAUGAUUGGUUAUGGAGAAUCAGAGUAAGUCAUUUUCAUUUAUGUCAACUCUCGAGCAUUAUUUUUAUUGCAGAGGUAAAUUAAUCUUACGCGAGGUUUUUGUAUUUAUACUGUCGAUAGGUAUAGGCGAAAUGUGAUAGCGCGCACUUAGUGCAAAACGGCAAGCUUCUUGCAUGGAUCCAGUGGAGCAUAUGGAAUCACCAUAUAAGAGAUGCCGAUUAAUGAGUGUUACUGGAACUGUCUUAAGAAAAGGAAACGAGAACAGAGUGUCUCUGGAGACAAACCGUUAUAAGUUAAAAUCUGAGUCUUCCAUUGACUUACAUAUAAGUAGGUAGCUUUCUGAUGCAAUUUUGAAGACGCUCAAAUUGAUUUAAUGCUGAUUUGUAUUACGUAUGGCUUCCGGCCCUUCGAUAACUGUUUUCACCAUUUGCUUCUUCCUCGAUUAACUGAUGGUUUUACGAAUAUGAAUGAUGAUUCCAUUUCCAGGCUAGCUUAAUUUUUGCAGGUUCAUCUUGGUCCAGUUUCUGCUCGCUUCGAACAUGAUCAUAACUACAGAAAUCUUGAGCAGAAUGAGGAAAAAGAGUUAGGCUGUCACAAGGUUUUAAGGACUGAGACCGAGUCCAACUCUUACCUAAAAGACUCACAGACCUCUAUCCGUAAACCUACUCUCAGUCAGCUGCUCGGGUUCAACAGGUUUCCAAGGCUCGAUCUUUUGAGAAGAUAGGGAACAAAAGAGUUUGGAGAUAGCGAUGGAUCCAAACCAAGACGCCCGGGCUUAUAUAGUCCAUGAAACAAAGACGGGUCUUAUACUCAUUAAGUCAUAGCAAAUGUGUAAGAUUUGAUGAUUGGUAAUGAAGAACCAGUAUUUAUACUAUUGAGAUUUACAAAACAGAAAUAGUUGACAGAUGUUCUAGGAAAAUUAUAUUUUGUCAUUAAAAUGAAACAAAUUCCAAAUAUCUAAGCAAAUAAUCGGAUCGUAUUAUGACAAUUAAUAACAUUUCUUUUUAAUAGAUGACGUGGAUAUCCGAUCCGCCGUAGAUUAAAUCUUCGCAGUGAACCCGCACUGCUCACCACCACCACCCCUCGGACCAUCAUCACACCGCGUCUCGACCCAGAGGGCUUCCUCAGUCCUCCACAACUCUCCCUUGCGUUCUUACUUCUCUCUCCAGAUCCAAACUCUCACCAUUCUCAUCACAAAGAGAACUACAAUCUCGAUUCACUCUCUCCCAAAUCUCUAAUCCGAUUUCGAGAUUCAAUCCUCCCCCAGAUCACCUUUUGUUUCGGUUCAUGAUUCUGAUUCCGUGAGAGACCUUAUGGAUUCGCAUCCUUCCUUAAUCGGAAGGUCCAUCGGCAACAGCAACCGAUCCAGCGUAGAUCUCGGCCGUUCAACGCCUUCCUCUCCUUCCCCUUCAUCGCUAACCAAAUCGAUCUCCGAUGCAAGUAGCCAGAGCCUCUCUUCGAUCCUCAACAACCCGCACGGAGGCAAAUCCGGCGUCUACGGCUCCGACGCCUCCUGGGUUGGUUGGUGGUCAUCCUCAACCUCCGUAGCUCCCUCCGAGUUCGCGCCCGUCGCUUCGACCAAGCUCCCCGGGUCGGACCUCACCAGAUCCGACUUCCACGGCUACGUUUCCUCGAUCUCCGACUCUCACGCUAGGUUCGAGGAUAUCAGGAACCACGCCAAGGAAGAGAGCUCCGGGUUCGAUCAGGAGAGCCACGUGUCCGGUUUGGCUUCGUGUCUCCGCGAGGUUCCUUCGCUCUACUUCAAGGAGGAUUUCGCGUUGGAGGACGGAGCUACAUUUCGCUCCGCGUGUCCUUUCUCGACGUUGACGGAGAAUCUAGCGCUUCAGGAGAAGCUGUCGCAGUAUCUCGAUGUGGUGGAGAUGCAUCUUGUGAAGGAGAUCUCGGUGAGGUCUGAUUCGUUCUUCGAGGCGCAGGGGCAGUUGCAGGAUUUGAAUGUGAAGAUUGUUGAGGGGUGUAGUAGGAUCCGUGAGUUGAAAGAGACUAUUAGGCUUCUUGAUAGGAACUUGGUGGAUUCUGCUAGGCAGAUUCAGGAGCUGAGCUCGACUAGGAUUAAUAUGUUGGAGCUGCAGCGUAAAUUGAGGGUCAUUUUGUAUGUUAACCAAGCUCUCUCUGCACUCAAAUUGGUAAUUGUUCUUAGACUGAUUCGCUUUGAGUAGUGUCAAGUUAGCUACUUUUGAGUGUUUCCACUGUUUUCCUGAUAGAAGUUUGAUUCUUUAUUGUUCAGCUUGUUGCGUCCGCAGAUUGUGCUGGAGCGUUGGAUAUAACUGACGAUCUCCAGAACUUGUUGGUAAGUAAUCUGUGACUGAUGUGGGGGGUACUGUUAGAUGGUUAGAUUGAUCUUUCGUAAGAAGCUAAAAUUGUUUUAUCUCCUUAUCAGGCCGGGGAUGAGCUAACUGGUCUACAUUGCUUCCGUCACCUUCGAGAUCAUGUCACUACUUCCAUAGAGUCUAUAAACAGGUGCGAAUAUGAUAACUGACUAAAAUAGGCUGUGUUCAGUUUGACUGUACUGCUCUUUUAGGAGAAGCGUUUAAAUUGUUUGAGCUUUUGUUUUAACGGCAGUAAUUAGUAAAGUGUUUCUUAAAUUUGUGGAUAGAAUGGAACACAAUUGGACCCAGUGGGAUUUCAUGUCAAUUGUGCCAAGUACCAAACCAGCCAACUAAUUCUGAUCUAGUGAUUAUGUUUUUAGUUCUGUUGUUGAGCCUCUUGGAUUUUCUCUGAUAACGAAGGCAGUUGAUAUUUUGAAAAAUGCUUACAGGGUGUUGCAGCUAUGUUUUUUCCUUCUGUGACAUUCUUUGGCAGCUAUGGUUUAUUCAUAGCAAAUAGUAUCUCUGUAAUCUGCAAAGGUCACUGUUUCUUACUGUAUAUCAAUCGUUUCAUGCGGCAGACAUUUUCUCCGUCUGAUGAUUAGGAAUAUACCCAGGCUCGUAGGCAUUUGCGUCAAUUAAAUGUUUAGUAUAUUGAUUUUCUUUAGCAGUGCUGUUUCGUGAAAUUUCAGUAGUUCACUGUUUUAGUUCACCUUCUAUAUUUACCUAUCCUGUUUCUCUAUUACUCUCUUUAAUUUGUUUAUUUGGUCUAAUGUCUGAUAGCUUGUUGAUUUUUUCUUUGUAGUAUUCUCACAGCUGAAUUUAUGCGUAUCUCAAUACACAAUACUGGGGAAAUAGAUGUACUGAUUUUAUCUGCUGCAAAAAAACGUGGAUCCAUAUCUUCUAACUGGGAGACGGGUGAAGUAAGUCUCAUCCGAUACAGAUGCAUAUUUUUGAUGAAUUUGGGCGCUUUUUGUACCAUGUGGAGCUUAAAACUGAAUAAAUCUUUACCUGUGAGAAGCGGUAGAUUAAUCAGAAAAUAAGUGGAAGAAUAUCCAGCAUGACUCGUAAUAAUAAUCUUCCACCUUUGCAGGUUAAGAUAGAAGAAGAAGAUACGUCUACCUUAUGUGAUCGGCUUCUUCCUCUAGUAAUUGGAUUGCUAAGAACGGUGAGUGGCCGUUCCUUUAUUUUUUUCAACACAUGCUAGCACUGAGGUUCACAAUGGUUUUUUGUUUUAAUAUCUUCGUUAGUGCUAUCUCUGGUCAUUAUUGUUUGAUUCGUAUUAAUUGUUUAGUCUGAAUUAUGUUUCUCAUUUGUUUUUCUUUGAACUGUUUAUUGUAGGCAAAGUUCCCAUCAAUUUUGAGGAUGUAUCGUGAGGCACUGACAUCUGAAAUGAAAAACGCAAUCAAGAACGCAGUUGCUGAGCUGCUUCCAGUUCUUGUUGCAAGAUCGCUCGAAUCUGAUUUUUCACAUGGGGAGCGCUCAGUAGAUGUUGAUGGUGAGAUUAUAAUUAUUAUUACUAUGUAUUAAGAUUGUCAUGUGACUUAGUUUAUGUCUGAUACAUAGUUGAACAUAAGUUUAGUACUUGAAAAUACUGUGUAUUUACAUGUGCUUGUUUUUUUUUGUCCUCUAACUUAGUAACUUGAUCUGAGACCCGGCAGGGACGUAGUAUACAUGGAAAUUAGUUAACUGAUGAAGAAUGUUGGCUGAAGAUUUAUUUUUAUCCUUCUCUUAGGAUAAUGUAUUUUAUUUCGCUGGUAGUUUGUCUCUCCGGAAUCCAUUCUUAUUCCUAGUGCGUAUACAGGUGGUGGAUUAUCUCUCGCGAGCAAGUUGAGGGCUCUGUCAUCUGAGGCAUUUGUUAAUCUCUUAACUGCUAUAUAUCGGAUUGUUCAGGUAAUAUAUGCAUCAAUUAUGAAUUUUUUUUUUAUUUAAACAAGCAUUAUAGAAGUACUACAUAUAUGUCUAUUUAUGUUACACCAUUGGCAGCAUCUUUAUUUUGAUUUUGAUACAUAUACCUUAUUGAGGCUUAAAACGUUUCACCCUCUUAAGCAAUUAGACGAUUGGUUAAGAUGUAACAUGAUUUCAUUUCAUUUAGUGAAUGCAGGCACAUCUUGUUCGGGCUUCAGAAGUGAAAAAGGCAAUUGAAUGGAUCCUCUGCAAUAUCGAUGGACAUUAUGCAGCUGAUUCCGUUGCAGCUGCAAUUGCUGUUGGUGCUGUAGCGGCCGAAUCAAUCCAGGAAACAGGUUUCCAAGGCGAGCUGUCUUCUCCAUUGGGUAAGGCUACCUUAAAGGCUUCUCCAUUGCAGAGAAAAACAAGCGACACAUCAAGCUUGAUAAAUAUGUCAAGAAACUUCAGGUUUUCUGGUUUAUUUGUUUAUUUAUUUAUUCCAAAUUGUCGCAGUUGCCUGUAACACAAACCUUUGUUAUUCUUGAAACUAAAGUAGGUUUUCUAUUUCUCUUAUUUAUAUAGAGCCGAUGUCUUGAGAGAAAACACAGAAGCUGUCUUUGCGGCCUGUGAGGUUACUCAUGCUAGAUGGGCAAAGCUACUAGGAGUCCGUGCUCUUCUUCAUCCAAAAUUGAAAUUGCAGGAGUUCAUGAGCAUUUAUGAUCUCACCCAAGAAUUUAUAACAGCUACAGAAAAGGUGUUUGUUCAAAACUUUUCUUUCAUAAAAGAGAUAAGAAAUUGCAUUGCUAUUCUUGCCUGACAUUCUUAUGGAAAUUAUCAGAUUGGCGGACGGUUGGGAUCUAGUAUUCGUGGGACGCUGCAAUCACAAGCCAAAGCCUUUGUAGAUUCCCAGCAUGAAGCUCGGGUUAGUCUAUGUAUAUAUAUACCUUUAGAAGUUUUACAGAAAGGACAUCUACAUCUUUGUUUACUUCCAUGGCUUACAAAAAAAAGUGGGAGAAAAUAGUUACACUAAGAGCAAUAUGCCCAAAGCCAUCUCUAUACUUUGUGCAGCAGAAAAGUUAAACUUACAUUUAAUAACAGAGUAGUGUUGAGCUAUAUUGACUUCAUCCCAUAGAUCCAUAGUCCGUAAUUAUUUUACCACCUAACUUCUUUCAUUAUCAAGUGUUCUGGUCGUUAUUCUAAGUUUUAUCUUACUUUGUUGUAGAUGACAAAACUGAAAGCUGUCCUUGAUCAAGAAACAUGGGAUGAGAUGGAUGUUCCCGAAGAAUUCCAAUCCAUAAUCAGUUCUCUUUUCGCAUCCCAGGAGUUGAUUUCAAGGAAAGUUGAUGAUGCUGAUACUAUAACAUACCACAGAAACCCGCUCACUCCCAAUGGGUCUCUCACUUCAGGAACUGAAGAUCAAAAUACUGAACUACGAAAUGAAAAUUCUGAAUCUAGUGAAGGUCCUGCUGUUAGUAAUGCACAAGUGAAAUCUACAGUUUCACCUGAAUCUCUUGAAAGAAGCAAGGCUGGUGUAUCUUCAGUUGCGAAAGCGCACGUAAAAUCUAACCUUUUCUAUCAAGGAGUUGGUUACCACAUGGUAAACUGGUUAGUUUUCCUGUUAUUCAGCGUUAUGUUACAUAUCCGUUUUCUCUAGUAAUUCGAAUGGCUGUUGAUCAAUGAAUAUUUCUCUCUAUAUAUAUUUGUACCGUCUGCUAGGUUUGAUUCCUUAAUGUUUAGGUUUAGCUGCUGUCCCGGCUGUUAAUUUUGCUUAUGCUGAUGCAAUUCCUUGAAUGUCUGCAGUGGGUUAAUAUUACUCAAGAUGUUGUCAGAAUACAUUGAUAUGAAUAAUUCUUUGCCAGCUUUGUCCUCGGAAGUUGUUCUUCGUGUUGUUGAAGUGCUGAGAUUUUUCAACACUAGGACAUGCCAACUUGUUCUGGGUGCUGGUGCUAUGCAGGUAAAAAUAUGCUUUAAAUGUAGAAAAUAGUAAUGGUAAUUGCUGAUUAGUUUUAUUGAGUUUUCUAACCAAUGAUCUGUGAUCUUUUGCGUAACCAAAUGUACACACCUGACCUAUUUGUCUUUCGCAAUUGAACUUUUUGACAUAAAUUUUGGUUCUUGUUUACGCAAAACAGAUGUGAUCUGUAAUAUUGACCGUUUGAGUGGGAAUUUUCAUGCUAUAGGUUUCUGGUUUAAAGUCCAUAAAGGCAAAACACUUGGCACUUGCAAGUCAAGUAAUCGACUUCACUUACACUAUUAUUCCUGGUAGGUGAUAUUUUGUCAUUUCUUUCUAAUUGUUGCAGUUAUAAUGUGUGUUUAGCGGAGUUAAUAAUGUAUCGUUCUUUUUCUGGUCCUAGAAUCCAGAAGAAUUAUGUUUUCAAAAGUACCCGAGACGAGAAAGCCACUCUUGUCAGUAGAGAUUGAUAGAGUCGCUCAUUUGGACCAAACAGUGUUGGAGUUAACCACAACAUCUUGAUCACAAACAUACCAAUAGGAUCGUUGAUCUAUGGAUUCUUGGCUGCAUUGGUCUAUGACUCACAUGGUUCGACUGUGAUCAAAUCGAUGAAAGACUCCGUCGUGUGUAUGGGACGGGGUUGCUAUUACUUGACCUUUGUGUGGUGGGGAUGCUUGUCGGUUCUUGGACUCGCUUCUAGUCUUGUGUUGUUUAUUAGGACUAGAAGAGCUUAUCAACGGUUUGAACAAGCUCGGAUAAAUUCAAAUAUUGAUUCAUAGAAAUUUACCUUCAUUCCCCAACGGCUUGUGUAUAUCACAGUAUAUGUAGGGAUCUAUAUUUAACAGACGUAUUAAUGGACUGUUAUGGAUUUUGGCUGAUAAUAUUUUGUUGUCGCUGAUUUAUUAUAGUCUCAAAUUCUGAUA
rnacentral:lncRNA from 1 species